GGCUCUGUAGGCUCAGAAGGCUGAGUCGGUUGUUCCUUUUCACUUGGAGAAGGCUCAGCUUCCACAGGAGGCUCUGGAGGCUGACCUGUGGUCCCCUGCUGGGUUGGAGAAGGUUCAACCUCCUCGGGGCUCUCUGGAGGCUGAGAUGGGGUCUCCUGCUGGACUGGAGAAGGUUCAACCUCCUCGGGGCUCUCUGGAGGCUGAGAUGGGGUCUCCUGCUGGACUGGAGAAGGCUCAACCUCUUUGGUGACCUGUGG